AAACCAACAGGGAUUGCCUUAGUAACGGCGAGUGAAGCGGCAAAAGCUCAAAUUUGAAAUCUAGUGCCUUUGGUACUCGAGUUGUAAUUUGAAGAAUUUUUCUCCGAACAGUCCUUUAUCUAUGUUCCUUGGAACAGGACGUCAUAGAGGGUGAGAAUCCCGUGUGAUUUUGGAUACUGUUCAUUGUGAGAUUUAUUCGAAGAGUCGAGUUGUUUGGGAAUGCAGCUCUAAGUGGGUGGUAAGUUCCAUCUAAAGCUAAAUAUUGGCGAGAGACCGAUAGCGAACAAGUACAGUGAUGGAAAGAUGAAAAGAACUCUGAAGAGAGGGUGAAAAAGUACGUGAAAUUGCUGAAAGGGAAGGGCUUUAGGUCAGACUUGGUGUUUAAUACUCAGUUCUCCUUGUGGGAGCUGCUCUUGUUUUUCACUGGGCCAAUAUCAGUUUUGGCGGUAGAGCACCUCUGGAAAUGUAGCUGCCUUCGGGUAGUGUUAUAGUCUGGGGACGAUCUACUGCUGGGACUGAGGUCUGCGCAUUUUGCUAGGAUAUUGGCAUAAUGACCUUAAGCCGC
rnacentral:rRNA from 1 species